rnacentral:rRNA from 1 species
GGGGGGGGUGCCACCUGCAAGUCGACGGGAUUAGGGGCUUGCUCCUAAUCUAGGGGCGCACGGGUGAGUAACGCGUAGAUAAUCUGCCUGGUGAUCUGGAAUAACACUUCAAAAGGGGUGCUAAUACCGGAUAAACCCACGGAGUUUUUGGAUUCUGCGGGAAAAGGGGGGGACCUUCGGGCCUUCUGUCAUCAGAUGAGUCUGCGUACCAUUAGCUAGUUGGUAGGGUAAUGGCCUACCAAGGCUACGAUGGUUAGCUGGUCUGAGAGGAUGAUCAGCCACACUGGAACUGAUACACGGUCCAGACUCCUACGGGAGGCAUCAGUGGGGAAUUUUGCGCAAUGGGCGAAAGCCUGACGCAGCAACGCCGCGCGAGUGAUGAAGGCUUUCGGGUCGUAAAGCUCUGUCAAGGGGAAAGAAAUGUAUUGUGGCUAAUAUCCGCGAUACUUGACGGUACCCCUAAAGGAAGCACCGGCUAACUCCGUGCCAACAGCCGCGGUAAUACGGGGGGUGCAAGCGUUGUUCGGAAUUAUUGGGCGUAAAGCGCGUGUAGGCGGUUUGUUAAGUCUGAUGUGAAAGCCCUGGGCUCAACCCAUGAAGUGCAUUGAAGACUGGCAGACUUGAGUACUGGAGAGGGUAGUGGAAUUCCUGGUGUAGGAGUGAAAUCCGUAGAUAUCAUGAGGAACACCGGUGGCGAACGCAGCUACCUGGACCGAUAUUGGCCGCUGAGACGCGAAAGCGUGGGUAGCAAACACGAUUAGAUACACUGCUAGUCCACGCCGUAAUCGAUGAGUACUAUGUGUUGCGGGUAUUGAUCCCCUGCACUGCCGCAGCAUAAACGCAUUAAAGUACUUCGGC